rnacentral:tRNA from 1 species
GGCCUCGUGGCUAAGUUGGCUAGAGCGCUGGCUGCACUAAAGCCUUCCACUUGCUGUCGUGGAUUCGAAUCCCACCGAGACCG